CCUACGGGUGGCAGCAGUCGAGAAUCAUUCACAAUGGGCGAAACUCUGAUGCUGCGACGCCGCGUGGGGGAAUGAAGGUCUUCGGAUUGUAAACCCCUGUCAGGUGGGAGUAAAUUAAAAAGAUAGUACCACAAGUGGAAUAGACGGCUAACUCUGUGCCAGCAGCCGCGGUAAUACAGAGGUCUCAAGCGUUGUUCGGAAUCACCGGGCGUAAAGCGUGCGUAGGCUGUUUCGUAAGUCGUGUGUGAAAGGCGCGGGCUCAACCCGCGGACGGCACAUGAUACUGGGAGACUAGAGUACUGGAGGGGAAACCGGAAUUCACGGUGUAGCAGUGAAAUGCGUAGAUAUCGAGAGGAACACUCGUGGCGAAGGCGAGUUCCUGGACAUUAACUGACGCUGAGGCACGAAGGCCCGGGGAGCGAAAGGGAUUAGAUACCCGAGUAGUC
rnacentral:rRNA from 1 species